rnacentral:rRNA from 1 species
CCCUCGUUGAUCUCUUGGUCAUCGAAGCGGCAGCCCACGGUCUCCCGCUCCAGCGCCGAGGCAGAGUAUCGCGCGGUGGCCAACGCCGUGGCCGAGUGCUCUUGCAUACGUCAGCUGCUCCAGGAGUUGCUUUGUGAUGUUCACAAGGCUACUCUUGUCUACUGCGAUAACGUCAGUGCGGUCUACCUCUCCGCCAACCCGGUGCACCAUCGACGAACGAAGCAUAUUGAGCUCGAUAUUCACUUCGUGCGUGAGCAAGUUGCCCUUGGCCGUGUUCGGGUUCUCCACGUGCCGACGACGCAACAGUUUGCUGAUGUGAUGACUAAGGGAUUGCCUACUCCCGUCUUCGAGGAGUUUCGGUCCAGUCUCUGCGUCUCCGGCGACGCUUCGACUGCGGGGGGUGUUGAGUAUGUAUUUUGUACUACACGUGUAUUGGAGUUGUGGCCCACCUCCUAG